rnacentral:rRNA from 1 species
GACGAACGCUGGCGGCGUGCCUAAUACAUGCAAGUCGAGCGCAGGAAGUCAUCCGAACCCUUCGGGGGGACGUUGACGGAAUGAGCGGCGGACGGGUGAGUAACACGUAAAGAACCUGCCCUCAGGUCUGGGAUAACCACGAGAGAUCGGGGCUAAUACCGGAUGGGUCAUCGGACCGCAUGGUCCGAGGAUGAAAGGCGCUCCGGCGUCGCCUGGGGAUGGCUUUGCGGUGCAUUAGCUAGUUGGUGAGGUAAUGGCCCACCAAGGCGACGAUGCAUAGCCGACCUGAGAGGGUGAUCGGCCACACUGGGACUGAGACACGGCCCAGACUCCUACGGGAGGCAGCAGUAGGGAAUCUUCCACAAUGGACGAAAGUCUGAUGGGGCAACGCCGCGUGAACGAUGAAGGCCCUCGGGUCGUAAAGUUCUGUUGUAAGGGAAGAACAAGUGCCGCAGGCAAUGGCGGCACCUUGACGGUACCUUGCGAGAAAGCCACGGCUAACUACGUG